CAAAAUGCUGCCCAUGUGGCAUCUGUCACCCCAUUGAUUGCUGGGGUUGAUUUGGCUGAUCUAACUGGCUAGGCGGGUAUCCCCUUCCUCCCUCACUGCUCCACAUGGGUCCCUUCCAAAGCUGCGUGCUUGGUCAAAGAGGACGACCAUCCCCACAAGAGGAGGGCUGUUCUUGGGUCAAGGGUAUACAAGUAGCUGUGCUACCCUGCUAAAACCUCCAAGUACACUCUCAAAAUGCUACUAGAGGUAAGUGAUUCUGGGCUUGGACUAGC
rnacentral:snRNA from 1 species